UAGCCGUGUUUCGAGUUCCUCCGGAACACCCGGGAUUUUUCGUAUUUAGCCACGCCGGUCACGUGAUAUGAGCAAAAUGUUCCACAGGGGUACUUCCGGUUAAUUUUGUUUACACUGGUAACAAAAUUGUUUUUGACAAAAUAUAGAUUUUGCGGCACAAACUGUCGCAAAUCAGAUAAAGGAUAGCAAGGGAUAUAUAUUUACUUGGGAAGAUGUCAAAGUUUGCCUUUUCCCAAACCCGGGAAAAGCGUUCACGCAGAGGAAACGGUGGCGUCAUUUGUGUAGAAAACCACGAGCAGCCGAAAUUGAGUGCGAAUAUUACAUUCCGUGAAAGCUGAACCAACAAAGAAACAUCAUUGUUCUAGCCAGUUUCCUUAUAUUAACUUUUAGGAAAACCAAGAGGUUGAUAACAAUGGCUGAUCUGCAUAUAAUGACUGCUAGUUAUUGGCUGGUAUGCAGUGAAAGGGAGCUAAAAAGGAGUAAAAAGUUCAUAUCAGCCAGGUGAGAAUUAAUUUCUUUUUUGUGUGUUAUACAUAUGUAAUUCUUUUCUUUUGCUGCUUCAAAUCUUGUGUAUUUGAAAAUUUUCAGUCUAAUAUUUUGGCAAUGUUAUAGGUAGUGUGGCUUAAAUAAACCAGUGUUAAGGAAUAUCCAGUAAUGGCAUGACAUCAUGAGAGUUUGGCAUACCGACAUUCAGAUGAUUAAUGAUGAAACUGAAGACCUCAAGUGAAAGGCAUGGAAAAUGAUCCUGUUCCCAUAUACCUGAAAAAGAGGAGGGAUGCCACAAUAUUGAUAAUAGACUUUUGUCAAUUUGAGAAGCAAAGAUGUAAAAAAAAAAAAAAAAAAAAAAAAAAAAUAAUAAUAAUAAUAAUGCUGAAAUUAUAAUUCAUGUAUUUGUUAAAAAUACUGUUCACUGUACAUACAUGUAUAUUUUUUUUAAACUUAUUUGGAAAUACAUGAAGUAAUUCAUAUUAAAACUGUGAAUGUA